AGUGGCGAACGAGGUAGUAACACGUAGGAAUGUACCCCAGAGCCGGGAAUAAUCCGCCGAAAGGCGGACUAAUACCCGAUGGCCUCUACGGAGUAAAGUCGCAAGACACUUUGGGAACAGCCUGCGGGAUAUCAGCUAGUUGGUAAGGUAAUGGCUUACCAAGGCUAUGACGUCUAGGGGAGGUGAGAGCCUGACCCCCACCGAUGGUACUGAGACACGGACCAUACACCUACGGGUGGCUGCAGUCGAGAAUCUUCCACAAUGGGCGAAAGCCUGAUGGAGCGACGCCGCGUGAUUGAUGAAGACCCUCUGGGUCGUAAAGAUCUUUUAUAGGGGAGGAAGCCGCGUUUGACGCGGUUGACGGUACUCUAUGAAUAAGGGGUUGCUAAACUCGUGCCAGCAGCAGCGGUAAUACGAGUGCCCCGAGCGUUAUCCGGAAUUAUUGGGCGUAAAGGGUGUGUAGGUGGUUGUGUUAGUCCUUUGUUAAAACUCUUGGCUCAACCAAGAAGGUGCGAAGGAAACGGCACGACUAGAGAGUGCGAGAGGUGAGCGGAACUCAUGGUGUAGGGGUGAAAUCCGUUAAUAUCAUGGGGAACACCGAAGGCGAAGGCAGCUCACUGGCGUACUUCUGACACUGAAACACGAAAGCGUGGGUCGCGAAUGGGAUUAGAUACCCCAGUAGUCCACGCCCUAAACGAUGAUCUCUCGCUAUUCGGAGUAUCGACCCUCUGAGUGGCUAAGCUAACGCGUUAAGAGAUCCGCCUGGGGAGUACGGCCGCAAGGCUAAAACUCAAAGGAAUAGACGGGGACUCGCACAAGCAGUGGAUCAUGUGGUUUAAUUCGAUGGUAAACGAAGAACCUCACCAGGGUUAGAAAUCCAAACGACGAGGGGCAGAAACGUCUCUCUUCUCACAAGGACGUUUGGACAGGUGAUGCAUGGCUGUCGUCAGUUCGUGGUUUGAAUUGUUCCCUUAAGUGGGGUAACGAACGCAACCCUUGUCGUCUGUUACAAGUGUCAGGCGAGACUGCCGGACUCUGUCCGGAGGAAGGCGAGGAUGACGCCAAGUCAGCAUGUCCCUCUGAUACCCUGGGCUACACACAUGAUACAAUGGCCGGUACAAAGAGCUGCUAUGCCGAGAGGCGGAGCUAAUCUCUAAAAGCGGCCCCCAGUUCGGAUUGAAGUCUGCAACUCGACUUCAUGAAGUUGGAAUUGCUAGUAAUCGCAGGUCAGCUAUACUGCGGUGAAUACGUUCUCGAGUCUUGUACUCACCGCCCGUCAACUCAAGGGAGCCGGAAGUGCCCGAAGUCCCACUCGUUGGGCCUAAGGUAAGUUCGGUAACAGGGAGUAAGUCGUAACAAGGUA
rnacentral:rRNA from 1 species